rnacentral:rRNA from 1 species
GUGGGGAAUUUUGGACAAUGGGCGCAAGCCUGAUCCAGCCAUGCCGCGUGCAGGAUGAAGGCCUUCGGGUUGUAAACUGCUUUUGUACGGAACGAAAAGACUCUGGUUAAUACCUGGGGUCCAUGACGGUACCGUAAGAAUAAGCACCGGCUAACUACGUGCCAGCAGCCGCGGUAAUACGUAGGGUGCGAGCGUUAAUCGGAAUUACUGGGCGUAAAGCGUGCGCAGGCGGUUAUAUAAGACAGAUGUGAAAUCCCCGGGCUCAACCUGGGAACUGCAUUUGGGACUGUAUAGCUAGAGUACGGCAGAGGGGGAUGGAAUUCCGCGUGUAGCAGUGAAAUGCGUAGAUAUGCGGAGGAACACCGAUGGCGAAGGCAAUCCCCUGGGCCUGUACUGACGCUCAUGCACGAAAGCGUGGGGAGCAAACAGGAUUAGAUACCCCGGUAGUCC